rnacentral:rRNA from 1 species
CCUACGGGAGGCUGCAGUGAGGAAUAUUGGUCAAUGGACGAGAGUCUGAACCAGCCAAGUAGCGUGAAGGAUGACUGCCCUAUGGGUUGUAAACUUCUUUUAUAAAGGAAUAAAACGAGCCACGUGUGCCUUUUUGCAUGUACUUUAUGAAUAAGGAUCGGCUAACUCCGUGCCAGCAGCCGCGGUAAUACGGAGGAUCCGAGCGUUAUCCGGAUUUAUUGGGUUUAAAGGGAGCGUAGAUGGGUUGUUAAGUCAGUUGUGAAAGUUUGGGGCUCAACCGUAAAAUUGCAAUUGAUACUGGCAGUCUUGAGUGAAGGAGAGGUAGGCGGAAUGCGUGGUGUAGCGGUGAAAUGCAUAGAUAUCACGAAGAACCCCGAGUGCGAAGGCAGCUUACUAAACUGUAACUGACACUGAUGCUCGAAAGUGUGGGUAUCAAACAGGAUUAGAUACCCCAGUAGUC